UUCUUUUAGAAAAAAUUAAAAGUAAUUUCUGCUCAAUGAAAAUUUAAAUGGCUGCAAAUUUUGUACUAAGGUAGCAUAAUCAAUUGUUUAUUAAUUGUAAACUGGAAUGAAAGAAAAUAUUUUUAGUGACUUUAUUGGUUUUAAUUUUUGAAUUUAGAAUCUUUGUAAAAAUACUUAGAUGCAAAUUAGGGACAAGAAGACCCUAUAAAGCUUUACAUAAAGAUAGAAUUUAAUUAAUUUUAUCUAAAAUGUUAAAUUGGGGCAAUUUUUUGAAAAAUACAAUAAAAACAAAAAACUAAAUUAAUUAAUGAACCAUAAAUUAUGGAUAUAUGAAUAAGUUACUUUAGGGAUAACAGGAUAAUUUUCUUUAUAAAGUACUAAUUGAAAAAGAAGUUUAUUACCUCGAUGUUGGAUUAAUUUUAUAAUCUGGUGAAGAAUCUAGAUUUUAUUGACUGUUCGUCAAAUAAAUAAUUACA
rnacentral:rRNA from 1 species